AACGAACGCUGGCGGCAUGCCUAACACAUGCAAGUCGAACGAAACCUUCGGGUCUAGUGUCGCACGGGUGCGUAACCCGUGGGAACCUGCCCUUGGGGUCGGAAUAACUCCCCGAAAGGGAUACUAAUACCGGAUAGUGUCUUCGGCCCAAAGAUUUAUCGCAUUUGGAUGUGCCCGCGUUGGAUUAGCUAGUUGGGAGGGUAAAAGCCUACCAAGGCGACGAUCCAUAGCUGGUCUGUGAGGAUGAUCAGCCACACUGAGACUGAGACACGGCCCAGACUCCUACGCGAGGCAGCAGUGGGGAAUAGUGGAAAAUGGGCGAAGGCCUGAUCCAGCAAGGCCGCGUGAGUGAUGAAGGUAGUAGGGUUGUAAAGCUCUUUUACCCGGGAUGAUAAUGACAGUACCGGGAGAAUAAGCUCCGGCUAACUCCGUG
rnacentral:rRNA from 1 species